rnacentral:lncRNA from 1 species
GGGUGUUCCUGAUCUUUGAGCCAUGAUAAUGUUACUGGUUGGAUGUCAGGAGCAGGCCAUGUGGAUGAUUAAAAGAUGAAUAUCAUAUACAGCAUGGAUAUGUUGGACAAAAAGAUGAUUCACAUCCCAGACAGAAUGGAGCAGCACAUUUAUUAAAAGCCAGAAGCUAGAAGACGAGGAAAGAAGAGGUGGUUAAAGAAAGAUACAGUAACAGCAGUAAUAUCUAACAGGAAGGCUACAGGGGAAAAUACAGAAAUUCCAUAAAGAACAAACACUGUAACUCAAAACCAAAGCUUUGCUAGUCACUAGUGCCCGCUACAUCCUAACAGAUGCAGCUGGAGAGCCUGGGGUGAGAACAUGAGCAGUCUAUAAUCAGAAAAUCCCUUUGGGAUAAAUUGACAAAAAUAUAAACCACUCCACAAAGGAGAAAUUGUAAAUGAGUUGUUAUGUAAAACCUCCCAGCGAAAGAAAUAGUCCAGAAAGCUUGAAGAGAAACUGAAAUUUGAAAAAUCUACCUAAAAAGGUGAUAAAGGAUUUUCAGUUUUGCAAAAAACGCAAUACAGAGUGUCUUUGGAAAGAAAGUUCUCAUAUGGAUUUAAAAUAUGAUUCAAUUUACAGAAGUCAGAGUUGUUCUUCCAGAUGGCAUGAAUCCAACAGUGAAGAAAUCAGAAUACGUUGCUUUUGUGAGGGGCAGCUGCUGAUUUUCUCUGAGCUCCGUUUCCAGCCUUCACAUGCUCUGCUAUUCAUCACAGGGUAAAUUCUGACUAUAGGAGGUACUGACAGAAGAUUAGGGAAGAACAGAGGGCUAAAUGUUUAUUGACUUCUUGAAAAAUGCUAUGUGUCUUGCCAGACUUAGCUUACAAGUUUGGUUAAAGAGAGACUGACAUGAGCAUAAAGGAAGGGACAUUGAAAGAGGCAGAGAUGAAGGAAGAAAUUGUAACUUACUCCUUUUAUCCCACCCAUCAAAGGAAAGACAAGUUGACAAGUAUUGAUUCUGCAACAAACUGAGAAGAAACCUGGCGAUUCACAACAGAGAGCUGAGAAAUCCUAAGUCUGGAUUCCAGCUAAAUGGGAGCAGACUAAAUAGAGCGGCAGUCGGCGAACUACAUGUAGCCCAUGAACAAAAUCCGGUCCAGCACGUGUGUUUUUUUUUACGGCCCACAAAUGAGUCUGUCUUUACAGAUGAAUGUUAAAACUGGGUUGACAAGAGAGAACACUCACUUUGAACCGCAACUAAACAAAAUAUUAUCACCUUUCCCCUCAAAAAAGGUGUCUGAGGGCAAGGGUUGAAUGAGGAGAAAAAGAAAGAAACAAGAAGAUAAUGAACUUAGCUUUAAAGAUGUUGGACCCUUUGAUUAAGUUGGAUUGUUUUUCCAAGAAGCGUACUGGAAGAAACAACCUUUCUUCCUACUGAGUGUGAUUAGAAGCAUGGCUCUCCUGCUAACGACUGGCCUCCGUCUUGUGACCAGAAACAGAGCUUUAGAUGAAAGCUAAAGCCAGUUUUGGAUUGAAGCAAAAUACUGUAGAAGACAGAGAUGGAAGAAAUCUGUCUUCAGUAAUAUUGCGCCACUUGAUCAAGGCUUUGCA